GAUGAACGCUCGCUGUGUGCCUAAUACAUGCAUGUUGAACGGGAUGUAGCAAUACAUUCAAUAGCGAAUGGGUGAGUAACACGUACCUAACCUACCUUUAAGACUGGGAUAACUAUUGGAAACAAUAGCUAAUACCGGAUAUAGUUAUUUAUCGCAUGAUGAGUAAUAGAAAGGAGCUUCACAGCUUCACUUAAAAAUGGGGGUGCGGAACAUUAGUUAGUUGGUAGGGUAAUGGCCUACCAAGACGAUGAUGUUUAGCCGGGCCGAGAGGCUGUACGGCCACACUGGGACUGAGAUACGGCCCAGACUCCUACGGGAGGCAGCAGUAAGGAAUUUUCCACAAUGAGCGAAAGCUUGAUGGAGCGACACAGCGUGCAGGAUGAAGUUCUUCGGAAUGUAAACUGCUGUUAUAAGGGAAGAAAAAAUAGAACAGGAAAUGAUUUUAUCUUGACGGUACCUUAUUAGAAAGCGACGGCAAACUAUGUGCCAGCAGCCGCGGUAAUACAUAGGUCGCAAGCGUUAUCCGGAAUUAUUGGGCGUAAAGCGUCCGUAGGUUUUUUGCUAAGUCUGGAGUUAAAUGCUGAAGCUCAACUUCAGUCCGCUUUGGAUACUGGCAAAAUAGAAUUAUAAAGAGGUUAGCGGAAUUCCUAGUGAAGCGGUGGAAUGCGUAGAUAUUAGGAAGAACACCAAUAGGCGAAGGCAGCUAACUGGUUAUAUAUUGACACUAAGGGACGAAAGCGUGGGGAGCAAACAGG
rnacentral:rRNA from 1 species